GGGACUACAGGCGCCCGUCAACAUGCCCGGCUAAUUUUUUUGUAUUUUUAGUAGAGACGGGGUUUCACCGUGUUAGCCAGGAUGGUCUCAAUCUCCUGACCUCGUGAUUCGCCCGCCUCGGCCUCCUAAAGUGCUGGGAUUACAGGCGUGAGCCACCGCGCCCGGCCACAGUGUAUCUUAAUGACCAUUGGUUGAGUGUGUGCGUGGAGGGGAACAGAUGGAUGAACUGAUCCAGCGACUCCCAGGCUGAAAGAACUGAAUGUUCAAUGGUGUACUUAUAGACCACAUUAACUUCUUGGCAAGUGCUGCUGCUGCACAUGUGGGUGGUCCAUCGCUGAAUAUGAAUGUGCUGAAUAUCAUUUGGGCAAGGAGCAAGAGGUGUUCAAGUGAGUUGGAGAGAAGCCCAGAAGGUAUGCUGUUUAUCUUCUAGGAACAUUUAUUUUCUGCAAAACAUAUAACUUGAGUUAAUAAAGUAGAUUUAGAUGUGAAUAAAGGAAACCGGUUAUUGAACCUGCAUCACUGUGCCUCUCCAGGAAUAACUAAAAGUUUUGAAUUUGAAUCCUAGAACAAGAAAAAGAAUAGAGCACAAAUAACUGCUCUUAUCACCUUGCAAGGAAUCACUGGACUGGA
rnacentral:lncRNA from 1 species